rnacentral:lncRNA from 1 species
CCAGCACAGCUCCCAGGAUAGCCCUUCCGCAGGCUCGGGAGGAAGGGAACCCCCAGCACCUAGAAAGCCUUGCUCCUUUGAGUUUACAGAGCGCUUAGGAAGCAGUUAGCCCAAAGUCCAGGAUAACUUUCCUCCCAGCCCUUGGGGACGGGUGCUGGUAAACUCCCGUGCUUCGGAGGAGGGAGCUGUCAGGGCCCUAACGCUGGAGCAACAGCAGCCCCUGGUCCUGGGGACUCCAUGUUGGCUUCCUGGAGCACACGGCCCGAAACUGCCUCUGAACGCGAUCCCUGAAGACUUCCGUCUUCCCCGCGAGGGUCAGUGCUUUGCCUGGCAGAACCGAGAGAGCGCUUGGUCGUCGGAUCACUGCGCGUGGAAGAGAUGGAAGCUAUCUCCUAAUUCUCCGUCUUUCACACGGAUGAAGAAACAGAUAGCUAGAGAGGAGCAGUGAUUUGUUCAAGCUCUUGCAACUAUGGAGUGGACAGGGUGUGCUCAGGCCUGGGGUGUGUCACCCUCUGCUCUGUGGAGCUUCUUAGGCCUUCCCUGGAAGAAACAGCAUGGUUCCUGGGGACCUCUGUGUGACAGUAACCCGGAGUUCUUGCUUUCCCCUGGGUAUUUCUUUGGUGUUCCAGCUUUGGUUUAAAAAUAUAAUGUUUUUUGCAUUUACCUUAUUUUAGAGUUGUUUGGAUAUUAAACUCCUUCUUUGAUCACUGUCACUUGACAUUGGCUCCAACAAGAUGCUCAGCAUUUAACCCCGCAGCCAUGCUGCUGGGGCCCCCGAGGCAGCACAUCCAGUGUGAGAAGCUCAGCUAAUACAUUCUCAGGCUGCUGUUUUCCAACAGUGCUGAUGGCGGUGGUGAGAUUGGCGGAGAUCCGAGGUUCCCGCGUAUCAAGGAAGAUUUCCUAAAGGAGGGAAGACAGAGCUGAGUAGGGGUUCGUGGAGGGGCCUUGAGGUCCGG